rnacentral:lncRNA from 1 species
ACAAUGCAAGAAUAAAUUUUUCAUAUGACAAUCACUACUUUAUUUAUUUCUUUAUUCAUUUUAAUACAGAGAACACAACCAUUUUAUUGCUUUCCACCUACCUAUGCAAGGCCACAUGCAUGUGCUCUUCUUACACAUAACAUGUGCUUGGAGAAGCUUCUGUUUGUUCCUGCAGCAUGUCUUAAAUUUCCCAGCUGGGUAGAGUCAAUGCAGGUGGAUUCAGAACAUUCCGUAGAAGUCAAGAUCCAUGCAGAUCAUCGUCACCUUCAUAGCUGCAUACUGGGUCUGGCAUUAACAGGAGUUACAGGUGUUACCUGGGCUGAGACAUGGGGUCAACAGCCCCAUAUUCAAUUCAUGAAAAAAUAGUUGUUCAACCUUCGGAUUGUUCAGCUAGCGACAAGAGAUGGGUUAUUGAUUUACCUUGAUUCCUCGGUCGACUAGUCACAGGGAAUCCUGGUAUGGUUCGUCACGAAAGAGUAGUAGUAGUAAUCGUAGUUGUACACUGUCCGUGCAACGGUGGAGAGUUGCCAUGUCCACCUGGUUCACCCCUGCAACUGUGAGAGGAUAUGGGCUUUGAGAACAAAUGCUGUCAGACGGACAGCUGAAUCCUAGCAGUCGUUCUUGAACAGAAAACCACUGAGCU